rnacentral:rRNA from 1 species
UACAGAGGGGGCCAGCGUUAUUCGGAAUUAUUGGGCGUAAAGGGCGCGUAGGCGGCCUGCUAAGUCGAACGUGAAAUCCCCGAGCUCAACUCGGGAACUGCGUCCGAUACUGGUUGGCUUGAAUCCGGGAGAGGGAUGCGGAAUUCCAGGUGUAGCGGUGAAAUGCGUAGAUAUCUGGAGGAACACCGGUGGCGAAGGCGGCAUCCUGGACCGGCAUUGACGCUGAGGCGCGAAAGCCAGGGGAGCAAACGGG